GAAGCAGCUUUUACUUGGUCAAUUUGCUACAAUGGAUUUGAAUUCCUGGAUGGUUAAGUUUUGUGUAUUGCAAACUUACAAGGUCACAAGUCUAACUCUCACCAACAAAACUGCCUGCGGCACUGCUUUCCUCAAUCCGAGAUCCCCUACAUCCACCGACGGUGAUCGUUACGUUACAGUUCCUGGUAUGAUGACCUUCUCAACAUAUCGUGAACCGACUUCAUGAUUCCUCUCAUAAGGAGUUCGACAAGAUUCAGAUGUACUCAGAUGGCUGGCUGACCUAGUCAAGUGUAAUUAGUAGGUAUCUUCUUCUUUCUCAUCUUCUUUAUUUUAUUUGUUUCAAUCUGGAUUUUAUUGCUUAGAUUUAUAGGGGUCUCCACUUGAUUGUGGAGCUCUUGUUUUCUUAUUGAUUGGUAAUGGUUAAGAUUUGCGAUUUACUUAGGUCUUUCCGAAUCUUAUGUUUUGUGACGACUUUUAAUUUUGAUUAUCAUGAUUUGUGGCCAUAGUAGUUCUUGGUGUUGUCCUCUCCUUAUCUAACAUUGCUUUGCACGUUCUCAUAUCCUUUUGUCAUCCGCUUUUUGCCUUCACCUUCCCUUUUUCUCGUAGAAGUCAAAAGUUGUAUAGGUUCUGGUUGGGAACUGUUCAUAUAGGCUUGAAUAAGUGUUACUCCUUGGGGACUCCUCGGGUAUGUUACCAUGUUUUUCAUUAUUUUGUAGAAACUAUUAAUGAACACAAGGACUAAUACCAUGGUAAGGAGUAUGAUCGUUAUGUUACGUUAUGGCUCCUGGUAUGAUGACCUUCUCAACAUAUCGUGAACCAACUUCAUGAUUCCCUCUCAUAAGGAGUUCGACAAGAUUCAGGUGUACUCAGAUGGCUGGC
rnacentral:lncRNA from 1 species